rnacentral:rRNA from 1 species
AACGAACGCUGGCGGCGCGCUUAACACAUGCAAGUCGAACGAGAAGGCGUAGCAAUACGCUUGUAAAGUGGCGAACGGGUGAGGAAUACAUGGGUAACCUACCCUCGAGUGGGGGAUAACCCGCCGAAAGGCGGGCUAAUACCGCGUACGCUUCCGAUCUUGCGGGAUCGGAAGGAAAGCUGUCCCAAGGGGAUGGCGCUCAAGGAUGGGCUCAUGUCCUAUCAGCUUGUUGGUAGGGUAACGGCCACCAAGGCAUCGACGGGUAGCUGGUCUGAGAGGACGAUCAGCCACACUGGCACUGCGACACGGGCCAGACUCCUACGGGAGGCAGCAGUGAGGAAUAUUGCGCAAUGGGCGAAAGCCUGACGCAGCGACGCCGCGUGGGGGAUGAAGGUCUCGGAUUGUAAACCCCUUUCGGGAGGGAAGACGGCCUUAGACAACUAAGGCGGACGGUACCUCCAGAAGCAGCCACGCUAACUUCGUGCCAGCAGCCGCCGU